rnacentral:lncRNA from 1 species
UAUAUGAGCGUCGCCCUGUAACGUUUAAGAGCACAGGCCGUUGACAGCAGCUAAUCUAUGAAGUGGUGAACUCUUCGCCAGAGACGCUCCACAGCAUUGAAUGGGAAAGGCUUUGCCAUUUCAGAUGCCAAACACUGAUCAUGACUUCUGUGCGUAGCCCAUGAGGACAGAGGAGCAGCAUGUGACUUAUGUACAGCCACUCAUCAACAAGAUUUCUCUUGUCUUUCCGGCUCCCUGUGACUGUGGAGUAUUCAGGAUCAGUGGUUUCCCGAGGAAACAUAUACUGCCUGCCGCCACCUAAAAUAACCUGCAGCACAAUUAAAGAGGAAUGAUGUCAAAAACGACAACAAAUUAACAUCAAGCAUGACUUCAAGAAACACUUAAAAAGGGGUCGCCACAGCAGAAUGAACCACCAGUUAUUCCAGCAUAAGUUUUACGCAGUGGAUGCCCUUCCAGCCCCACCUCAGAACUGGGAAAUUCCUGACAUAAAGUGAUGAGCUGGACUGCGAUAUCUUGGCAUCCUCCUGCCACGGCUUCAGACGUCAGCUCUUUAUCGCUGUACCAGCCUCGCUCAGGGGUGUGCGAGUAACUGGCGGCGGGCGACGCGUGCUGGACACGUGCUGUGCUCACUAUACCGACAGACUUCCCUGGAAAACACAAGGACAGCCUGUGAUGUGGAUCCAGAGAAGGAUAAUUGCGAACCAUGAAACAACACUUACCAGGAACAACGGAGAAACAUCCAUCGAAUCCUGCUGAUGCGAAUAUUCCAAUGAGCAGCAGGGCUUGUGUUUUGGCCAUGAUUGAGCUUCUGGAGAUCUGCAUGCCUGAAGCUCACACUGAUGUUUAUAUUCUUCAGUCCGACCAAAGGACAUUCAGCGCUGCCGGUUGUCUGUUCUCCUACCAGCUGGCCAAACUACCACCCAGCAGGCCUGAGUGUUUUGUUCUGCUCAGUCAAACUGUGACCACAUCGAGACUGGAGAGUCUGCAUACUGAAGCAUAAGGUCAGACACGUGUUUAUUUCCACAAGCGGCCAUGCUGGAGGCAGGAAGGCAAACCUCAGACUUCACUGCAUCCACAAACACCCUUGGUAGGGAGCAUGCUGUCCUACAGGUGUGCACUAAAUAUAUAUAAUGUGCGACUGCAGACAGUUGAACCACAUUUGUGACU